rnacentral:rRNA from 1 species
UACGUAGGGCGCAAGCGUUAUCCGGAAUUAUUGGGCGUAAAGCGCUCGUAGGCGGUUUGUCGCGUCUGCCGUGAAAGUCCGGGGCUCAACUCCGGAUCUGCGGUGGGUACGGGCAGACUAGAGUGAUGUAGGGGAGACUGGAAUUCCUGGUGUAGCGGUGAAAUGCGCAGAUAUCAGGAGGAACACCGGUGGCGAAGGCGGUUCUCUGGGCAUGACCUGACGCUGAGGAGCGAAAGUGUGGGGAGCGAACAGG